rnacentral:rRNA from 1 species
AUUGAACGCUGGCGGCAUGCCUUACACAUGCAAGUCGAACGGUAACGCGGGGCAACCUGGCGACGAGUGGCGAACGGGUGAGUAAUGCAUCGGAACGUGCCCAGUAGUGGGGGAUAGCCCGGCGAAAGCCGGAUUAAUACCGCAUACGACCUACGGGUGAAAGCGGGGGACCGUAAGGCCUCGCGCUAUUGGAGCGGCCGAUGUCAGAUUAGGUUGUUGGUGGGGUAAAAGACUACCAAGCCGACGAUCUGUAGCUGGUCUGAGAGGACGACCAGCCACACUGGGACUGAGACACGGCCCAGACUCCUACGGGAGGCAGCAGUGGGGAAUUUUGGACAAUGGGGGCAACCCUGAUCCAGCCAUGCCGCGUGCGGGAAGAAGGCCUUCGGGUUGUAAACCGCUUUUGUCAGGGAAGAAACGCGCUAAGCUAAUAUCUCGGCGUAAUGACGGUACCUGAAGAAUAAGCACCGGCUAACUACGUGCCAGCAGCCGCCGUAAUAC